UACGAAGGGGGCUAGCGUUGCUCGGAAUCACUGGGCGUAAAGCGCACGUAGGCGGAUUGUUAAGUCAGGGGUGAAAUCCUGGAGCUCAACUCCAGAACUGCCUUUGAUACUGGCGAUCUCGAGUCCGGGAGAGGUGAGUGGAACCGCGAGUGUAGAGGUGAAAUUCGUAGAUAUUCGCAAGAACACCAGUGGCGAAGGCGGCUCACUGGCCCGGUACUGACGCUGAGGUGCGAAAGCGUGGGGAGCAAACAGG
rnacentral:rRNA from 1 species